UGACAGUUCCAAAUCUGAGACUGCCUUGGGUGAAUCAGGAUGCCUCUAACAAGUUCAAGGUGCGGCGCUGCUCUGAGGAUGCAAACGGCACUGGAGAUAGUUAAAGCUGCUCAAAAUGGCUCAUGUGGGCAGACGGGGCCUGAGUUAUUAUUCUAACCUUCAUUUUAGUCUCUCACCCCCGGCCAGAAGUCCGUGCAGAAAGAGCCUGGCUCCUCUACUGCCUCCCCUUCUUCCAAGUCUCAACUUUGGACCCAGCCUGCUGUCUCCGGUCAUCAGGGCUGCCCACCAGUGAGGAGGCUUGGGCAUAUUAUCUACUGCCACUCAACUCCCAGUGCCCAGCAUCGGGGACACCAGGCCA
rnacentral:lncRNA from 1 species